AGACUAUUAGGAGCACGCAGCUCUCCCUUGUCACGUGACCGCCGCGGUCCAAUCAGCUGUGCUUAUAAGCCGGUAGCAGGAAGUGGCCAGUAGACUGGACGUGAGGGGAGAGAGAUUGUAUUUCUGCUCGAGAGCUGACUACCAGCGCCGGAUUUUUUGUCAUUAGCUGUGUGUGACUGUAGAAGCGGAGUUGGCCAGGCUUCUCUUUAUGAUGGCGAGCUAAGGAAAAAAAACAUCUAGUCCAAGGAUCGUUCUUGGGAGAUUCCAGCCAGGAACCCCACCACCUGUUCUGUGGGCUGGUAGGAGGCUCUCGAGCCAACCCCCUACACAUUUUCACCUUAACCAUGGACUGUACUGCUUUACCCUCCAAAACCUUUCUCCAAGAACUCUAUUAUCUGAGCUGAGAUUUAAACAAGAUCCAGAGACACUAAAUCAUUGAAUUGGAACACACACAGAGCUAUUUCUAUUUUUGGGCAGAAUUAUUAUAGUGUUCCCAACGUUAAAAGGCUAAAGCCAUUGUUUACAAAUUUGGUAAAUAAAUUACCCCAAAAUUUAUAUUUUGUUGUUUUCUUACUGUACCGAAAAUGAAACGAACCGUGACCUCUAAACCGAGGUUCGUACCGAACCGAGAUUUUUGUGUACCGUUACACCCUUAGUGUAUACAAAUACACAUUCCCGUGGAUACACAUACACAUUCCCGUGUAUACACACACACAUUCUCGUGUAUACACACACACACAUUCCCGUGUAUACACACACACAUACCCGUGUAUACACACACACACAUACCCGUGUAUACACACACACAUACCCAUGAAUACACACACACAUUCCCGUGUAUACACACACAUACCCGUGUAUACACACACACAUACCCGUUGUCGGAGGAAGAUAUUUACAUAUAUCCGAAUUUAAGUUGUACUUCUUUUAUUUCAUAGUCAUAUUUGAAAACAGCUCGUGUUUUCCAUUUCUUCUCUUGCUGCUUUGUCUGCAAGUAAACUGUGUGUGUUAACCUUGAGGCUUUGGAAUGUGUUUUUGACUAGCAUGUAUUUUGUCUACAGAGAGGGGAGAAAAGAGAGGGUUUUGGGAUCGAGACAGACAGACCAUUUUAGCGGGGCGAUCCGAAUGUUCUAUGCUGUUUCUGUGAAAGUAUAUCUGCAAAGCUUUGCAAAUAUAUUACAAAAUACCUAUUCGGUCUCUGGUGGUUUUUCAACUCAGCUUUAAGUGUCGUAAAGAGCUUGGGAGCGACUUGUGACUUGAAUUCCCUGGGAGGAACAACUGGUCCAAAACGCAACAAUUUGGGGGCCUCGUCCGGGCGACACGCUGAGAAUUGGACACCUCUUACACUCUUCUGGACAGACUCACGAGUGGCCAAACAUAAAACAAGGUAAGCAGAGCCUUUUUCUAAAAUCUGCUUUAGGAGUCUGUCUUGAAGUAUGUAAGUCAAACACUGUUUGUACCCCAGACACAGAGUGGACAUUUUGAUGGAUUGAUUGCAUUUUUGCCUUGUCCGCCAUUACAUAAAAAGCUGUAAAUAAGUGGUCAACUCGCGUCAUUGUGUCUCGACUACCGUGACGGGCAGUUUCAUUGACGAAUAAACUAAUAGUUGGGUGUAGCUCACCCUGGGUCAUUGGUCGUCGCCUAAACGAGUAACAGGUUCGAGGCCUUUCGUCUGGGACGAAAAAUUCUGAAGUAAGGGGUUCGAGGCCCUUCGUCUGGGACGAUAAAUUCUGAGAUAAAAGACACAAUGGCUACGGAGUGUGACAGACAGGAAUGUGAUGGCGGAUGGGGGAAAUGUGAUGAAUGGCUACCGUUUAAUGAUCAAUUGAAUGUGCUUUUGGUGACAAUGGAAUCAGCGGGAAGAGACAAAAAGGAGAACGUUUCAUGAAAGGGUUAAGAGGGAGUUUACAACACUCUCUUUGAAAAAUAAGGGUUAAGAGGGAGUUUACAACACUCGUAAAGUCGUGAACUCAAACGUUUGGUAAAUAAAGAAAAGUAACUGGAAGUUUUAUGGUAAAGUGAAACACAGAGAAAGAGCUUUCGUGCAGCUUUUUCCUUGUAUGUGUGUGUGUUGCUGGUUGCGUGGGAGUGUGUGUGUGUGUGUGUAUGUGUGUGUGUGUGUGUGUGUGUGUGUGUGUGUG